AGAUUAAGUUAUUAAGGGCGCACGGUGGAUGCCUUGGCACUAGAAGCCGAUGAAGGACGUUACUAACGACGAUAUGCUUUGGGGAGCUGUAAGUAAGCUUUGAUCCAGAGAUUUCCGAAUGGGGAAACCCAGCAUGAGUUAUGUCAUGUUAUCGAUAUGUGAAUACAUAGCAUAUCAGAAGGCACACCCGGAGAACUGAAACAUCUUAGUACCCGGAGGAAGAGAAAGAAAAUUCGAUUCCCUUAGUAGCGGCGAGCGAAACGGGAAGAGCCCAAACCAACAAGCUUGCUUGUUGGGGUUGUAGGACACUCUAUACGGAGUUACAAAGGACGACAUUAGACGAAUCAUCUGGAAAGAUGAAUCAAAGAAGGUAAUAAUCCUGUAGUCGAAAAUGUUGUCUCUCUUGAGUGGAUCCUGAGUACGACGGAGCACGUGAAAUUCCGUCGGAAUCUGGGAGGACCAUCUCCUAAGGCUAAAUACUCUCUAGUGACCGAUAGUGAACCAGUACCGUGAGGGAAAGGUGAAAAGCACCCCGGAAGGGGAGUGAAAUAGAACCUGAAACCGUGUGCUUACAAGUAGUCAGAGCCCGUUAAUGGGUGAUGGCGUGCCUUUUGUAGAAUGAACCGGCGAGUUACGAUUUGAUGCAAGGUUAAGCAGUAAAUGUGGAGCCGUAGCGAAAGCGAGUCUGAAUAGGGCGUUUAGUAUUUGGUCGUAGACCCGAAACCAGGUGAUCUACCCUUGGUCAGGUUGAAGUUCAGGUAACACUGAAUGGAGGACCGAACCGACUUACGUUGAAAAGUGAGCGGAUGAACUGAGGGUAGCGGAGAAAUUCCAAUCGAACCUGGAGAUAGCUGGUUCUCUCCGAAAUAGCUUUAGGGCUAGCCUCAAGUGAUGAUUAUUGGAGGUAGAGCACUGUUUGGACGAGGGGCCCCUCUCGGGUUACCGAAUUCAGACAAACUCCGAAUGCCAAUUAAUUUAACUUGGGAGUCAGAACAUGGGUGAUAAGGUCCGUGUUCGAAAGGGAAACAGCCCAGACCACCAGCUAAGGUCCCAAAAUAUAUGUUAAGUGGAAAAGGAUGUGGCGUUGCCCAGACAACUAGGAUGUUGGCUUAGAAGCAGCCAUCAUUUAAAGAGUGCGUAAUAGCUCACUAGUCGAGUGACACUGCGCCGAAAAUGUACCGGGGCUAAACAUAUUACCGAAGCUGUGGAUUGUCCUUUGGACAAUGGUAGGAGAGCGUUCUAAGGGCGUUGAAGCAUGAUCGUAAGGACAUGUGGAGCGCUUAGAAGUGAGAAUGCCGGUGUGAGUAGCGAAAGACGGGUGAGAAUCCCGUCCACCGAUUGACUAAGGUUUCCAGAGGAAGGCUCGUCCGCUCUGGGUUAGUCGGGUCCUAAGCUGAGGCCGACAGGCGUAGGCGAUGGAUAACAGGUUGAUAUUCCUGUACCACCUAUAAUCGUUUUAAUCGAUGGGGGGACGCAGUAGGAUAGGCGAAGCGUGCGAUUGGAUUGCACGUCUAAGCAGUAAGGCUGAGUAUUAGGCAAAUCCGGUACUCGUUAAGGCUGAGCUGUGAUGGGGAGAAGACAUUGUGUCUUCGAGUCGUUGAUUUCACACUGCCGAGAAAAGCCUCUAGAUAGAAAAUAGGUGCCCGUACCGCAAACCGACACAGGUAGUCAAGAUGAGAAUUCUAAGGUGAGCGAGCGAACUCUCGUUAAGGAACUCGGCAAAAUGACCCCGUAACUUCGGGAGAAGGGGUGCUCUUUAGGGUUAACGCCCAGAAGAGCCGCAGUGAAUAGGCCCAAGCGACUGUUUAUCAAAAACACAGGUCUCUGCUAAACCGUAAGGUGAUGUAUAGGGGCUGACGCCUGCCCGGUGCUGGAAGGUUAAGAGGAGUGGUUAGCUUCUGCGAAGCUACGAAUCGAAGC
rnacentral:rRNA from 1 species